rnacentral:rRNA from 1 species
UACGAAGGUCCCAAGCGUUGUUCGGAAUCACUGGGCGUAAAGGGUGCGUAGGCGGUUUGGUAAGUCAGAUGUGAAAUCCCGGGGCUCAACCCCGGAACUGCAUCCGAUACUGCCGGACUAGAGGACUGGAGAGGUGACUGGAAUUCUCGGUGUAGCAGUGAAAUGCGUGGAUAUCGAGAGGAACACUCGUGGCGUAAGCGAGUCACUGGACAGUAUCUGACGCUGAGGCACGAAGGCCAGGGUAGCGAAAGGG